ensembl:lncRNA
GGUACAGGUGUGUGAGUGAGCCAGGUGUGCCCAGGUGUGAGGGCUGCAAGCUCAAGGAGUGCUCCAAGUCCAUGGACGAGAGCCGGCUGGACUGGGUAGGGACUCAGGUGUGAGUGUACAGGUGUGCCCAGGUGUGACUGAUACAGGUGUGCCCAGGUGUGUGAUUGGUACAGGUGUGUGAGUGAUACAGGUGUGCCCAGGUGUGACUGGUACAGGUGUGUGAGGGAUCCAGGUGUGAGGGGUACAAGCUCAAGGAGUACUCCAAAUCCAUGGACGAGAGCCGGCUGGACCGGGUGAAGGAGUACGAGGAGGAGAUCCACUCGCUGAAGGAGCGGCUGCACAUGUCCAACCGCAAGCUGGAGGAGUACGAGCGGCGCCUGGUGACGCAGGAGGAGCAGACCAGCCGCAUCCUCCUGCAGUACCAGCAGCGCCUGGAGCUCAGCGAGAAACGGCUCCGGCAGCAGCAGCAGGAGAAGGACUCGCAGAUCAAGAGCAUCAUCGGCAGCUGUCCGUCAGGUAGCGCGGCCCGGCCCCGCCAGUGGCACCGGACCCUCGGCCACCGGUGACACCCCAGGUGGGUCCUUGUCCCCUCCCUGUCACCCCCCGGGCCGCACAGGGGGACCCUUGGGGACACGGAUCCCACAUGUCCCCAAGGCCCUCCUGUGUCCCUAAGGGACAUUGGGGACCCUUGGGGACAUGGAUCUGGAAUGUCCCCAAGCGCUCUGCUGGCCCCAAGGGACACUGGGGACACUUCACGGGUGUCCCCAUGUCCCUCCCAUGUCCCCGUGUCCCUCCCAUGUCCCUCAGGCUCAUUGGGGACCAGUGGGGACACGGAUCCAGGUGUCCCCAAGGGACAUUGGGGACCACUGGGGACAUGGAUCUGGAAUGUCCCCAAGUGCUCUGCUGGCCCCAAGGGACACUGGGGACACUUCAUGAGUGUCCCCAUGUCCCCACAUCCCUCCUGUGUCACUCAGGCACAUUGGGAACCCUUGGGGACACAGAUCCAGAUGUGCCCAAGGGACAUUGGGGACCACUGGGGACAUGGAUCCAGAUGUCCCCAAGAGCCUCUCGUGUCCCCAGGGGACACUGGGAACCCUUGGGGACAUGGAUCUGGAGUGUCCCCAAGCGCUCUGCUGGCCCCAGGGGACACUGGGGACACGUCACGGGUGUCCCCAUGUCCUGCCCAUGUCCCCAUGUCCUGCCCAUGUCCCCAUGUCCUUCAGGCACAUUGGGGACCCUUGGGGACACGGAUCAAGGUGUCCCCAAGGGACACUGGGGACCACACAGAUCUGGAAUGUCCCCAUGUCCCUCCAGUGUCCCCAUGUCCCUCAUGGGCACUUGGGACUCCCUGGGGACACGGAUCCAGGUGUCCCCAUGUCCCUCCCGUGUCCCUCAGGCACACCGGGGACCCUUGGGGACACAGAUCCAAGAUGUCCCCAAGGCCCUCCUGUGUCCCUCAGGGGCAUUGGGGACACAGAUCUGGGUGUCCCCAUGUCUCUCUUGUGUCCCCAUGUCCCUGAGGGACACUGAGGACUUCUUGGGGACACAGAUCCAGGUGUCCCUCAGGGGACACUGGGGACCCUUGGAGACACGGAUCUGGAGUGUCCCCAUGUCCCUGAGGGACACUGGGAAGGGACUCCUUGGGGACACAGAUCCAGUUGUCCCCAAGGGACAUUGGGGACCACUGGGGACACGGAUCCAGGUGUCCCCAUGUCCCUCCCGUGUCCCUCAGGCACAUUGGGGACCCUUGGGGACACAGAUCCAAGAUGUCCCCAAGGCCCGCCUGUGUCCCUAAGGGACAUUGGGAACCCCUGGGGACAUGGAUCUGGAGUGUCACCAUGUCCCUCAUGGGCACUGGGGAUUCCUUGGGGACACGGACCCAGGUGUCCCCAAGACCCUUUUCUGUCCCCAAGGGACACUGGGGUCACAGAUCCAGAUGUCCCCAUGUCCCUCCUGUGUGCCCAUGUCCCUGCCACAUCCCUCAGGGACAUUGGGAAGCCUUGGGGACACUUGGGGACACAGAUCCAAGAUGUCCCCAAGACCCUCCUGUGUCCCCAUGUCCUUCAGGGCACAAGGGACCCCUUGGGGACACAGAUCAGGGUGUCCCUGUGUCCCUCCUGUGUCCCCAUGUCCCUCAGGACCCCAUGGGGACACCACCCCCGGUGUCCCCGUGUCCCUCCUGUGUCCCCAUGUCCCUUGGGGACAUGGCUUCAGGUGUCCCUCAUAUCCCCCCUGCUGUCCCCAUGUCCCUCCUGGUGUCCCCAUGUCCCCCGGGGACAUGGACCGAGGUGUCCCAAUGUCCCUCCUGGUGUCCUCCUGUCCCUGCCGUGUCCCUCCCGUGUCACCUGGGCACACGGAUCCAGGUGUCCCCUUGUCCCUUCUGUGUCCCCAUGUCCUUUAGAGACAUGGGGAACCCCUUGGGGACACUUUCCCAGGUGUCCCUUUGUCCCUCCUGAUGUCCCCAUGUCCUUCCUGGUGUCCCCAUGUCCCUUAGGGACACUGAGGACCCUUUGAGGACACCACCUCAGGUGUCCCCAUAUCCCUCCAGGUGUCCCCAUGUCCUUCCUGGUGUCCCCAUGUCCUUUAGAGACAUGGGGAACCCCUUGGGGACACUGUCCCAGGUGUCCCUUUGUUCCUCCUGAUGUCCCCAUGUCCUUCCUGGUGUCCCCAUGUCCUUUGUGGACACUGGGGACCCUUUGGGGACACCACACCAAGUGUGCCCAUGUCCCUUGAGGACCUCUUGGGGACACCAACCCUGGUGUCCCCAUGUCCCUUGUGGACACUGGGGACCCUUU